UUCCGGUUGAUCCUGCCGGAGGACAUUGCUAUUGGGAUUCGAUUUAGCCAUGCUAGUCGAGCGAGUUUAGACUCGCGGCGAAUAGCUCAGUAACACGUGGCCAAGCUCCCCUUCAGUCAGCGAUACCCUCGGGAAACUGAGGUUAACAGCUGAUACAAAACGCCAGCUGGAAUGCGGCGUUUCAGAAAGACAUCGCUGAAGGAUGCGGCUGCGGCCGAUUAGGUAGACGGUGGGGUAACGGCCCACCGUGCCAGUAAUCGGUACGGGUGAUGAGAGUCAGAGCCCGGAGACGGAAUCUGAGACAAGAUUCCGGGCCCUACGGGGCGCAGCAGGCGCGAAACCUUUACACUGCACGGAAGUGCGAUAGGGGAAUCCCAAGUGCGAGGGCAUAUUAGCCCUCGCUUUUCUCGACUGUAAGGCGGUCGACGAAUAAGAGCUGGGCAAGACCGGUGCCAGCCACUGCGGUAAUACCGGCAGCUCAAGUGAUGUCCCAUAUUAUUGGGCCUAAAGCGUCCGUAGCUGGCCGACCAAGUCUACCGGGAAAUCCACCCGCCCAACGGGUGGGCGUCCGGUAGAAACUGGCCGGCUUGGAACCGGAAGGCUCAGAGAGUACGUCCGGGGUAGGAGUGAAAUCCCGUAAUCCCGGACGGACUACCGAUGGCGAAAGCACUCUGAGAAGACGGCUUCGACAGUGAGGGACGAAAGCUCGGGUCUCAAACCGGAUUAGAUACCCGGGUAGUC
rnacentral:rRNA from 1 species